rnacentral:rRNA from 1 species
GACGAACGCUGGCGGCGCGCCUAACACAUGCAAGUCGAACGGAGCUGAGAGAAGCUUGCUUUUCUUAGCUUAGUGGCGAACGGGUGAGUAACGCGUGAGUAACCUGCCCUGGAGUGGGGGACAACAGUUGGAAACGACUGCUAAUACCGCAUAAGCCCACGAUCCGGCAUCGGAUUGAGGGACAAGGAUUUAUUCGCUUCAGGAUGGACUCGCGUCCAAUUAGCUAGUUGGUGAUGUAACGGCCCACCAAGGCGACGAUUGGUAGCCGGACUGAGAGGUUGAACGGUCACAUUGGGACUGAGUCACGGCCCAGACUCCUACGGGAGGCAGCAGUGGGGGAUAUUGCACAAGGGGGGAAACCCUGAUGCAGCGACGCCGCGUGGAGGAAGUAGGUUUUCGGAUUGUAAACUCCUGUCGUUAGAGACGAUGAUGACGGUACCUAGCAAGAAAGCACCGGCUAACUACGUG